rnacentral:rRNA from 1 species
GAUAAACGCUGGCGGCGUGCCUAAUACAUGCAAGUCGAACGAAUCUUCUUCGGAAGAUGAGUGGCGAACGGGUGAGUAAUACAUAGGUAACCUGCCCCUGUGCGGGGGAUAACAGGAGGAAACUCCUGCUAAUACCGCAUAGCCAUGAGCACCGCAUGGAGCUCAUGCCAAAUAUCCUUUCGGGGAUAGCGCAGGGAUGGACCUAUGGCGCAUUAGCUGGUUGGCGGGGCAACGGCCCUCCAAGGCAACGAUGCGUAGCCGGCCUGAGAGGGCGGACGGCCACAUGGGGACUGAGACACGGCCCAGACUCCUACGGGAGGCAGCAGUAGGGAAUUUUCGGAAAUGGGGGAAACCCUGACCGAGCAACGCCGCGUGAGCGAAGAAGGCCUUCGGGUCGUAAAGCUCUGUUGUAAAGGAAGAACGGCGCAUACAGGAAAUGGUAUGCGAGUGACGGUACUUUACCAGAAAGCCACGGCUAACUACGUGCCAGCAGCCGCCGUAACAC